UACGAAGGGGGCUAGCGUUGCUCGGAAUUACUGGGCGUAAAGGGCGCGUAGGCGGCUCGCGAGGUCGGGGGUGAAAUCCCACGGCUUAACCGUGGAAGUGCCUUCGAUACCGGCGGGCUGGAGGAAGGUAGGGGUGCGCGGAACUUCUGGUGGAGCGGUGAAAUGCGUUGAUAUCAGAAGGAACGCCGGCGGCGAAAGCGGCGCACUGGACCUUUUCUGACGCUGAGGCGCGAAAGCCAGGGGAGCAAACGGG
rnacentral:rRNA from 1 species